GGUCACGUACCGGCGCGGGGCACGCCGGGAAGGAGGCGGACCCGUCGCCAUGGCAACGCGGCCUGGCUGCCCCGCGGCCCGGCCGGGGCCUGGUCCCGCUCGGGGCUGGGCCCCGCUGUCCGUGUCCCUCACGACCCCCGCACCCCUCCAGCGACUCCUCCAUCAGUCCUUUCUUUUUCCACCCCCGCUUUCCCUGUUCUGCGGGUUCCAGGCCGGCCCCGCCGCUGUGCUGGUGUUGGACCAGGCCGGGGUUGAGUCAAAGAAAUCUGGGAAACCCAACUUUAAGAGGCCCACAGGGAACUUCCCCUGUUCCCCCUGAGGAGACCUCCCACCCCCGGUGCUGCAGUUAUCCCACCUGGUGCACCACAUCCUUGUUCCAGUCUCAUGACUCACCUCACUGCAAUCUGCUGUCAAUCCCUUUGCUACUUCAUUACGUAAAAUGAAUAAAAUUAAUGAUUUCUGGGACAUGAAGCAAUGUCUUGAUCUUUCUUCAUCACUA